CAUUAGCCAGUCGCUCUGGGAAGGGCUGGUGACCUCACGCUGGGCGGGACUGAGGCCUUUAAACCCGGUCCCUGUGCCGCUGCUGCGCCGGCCUCGCAGCCUUGCAGCCUCCCACGUCCGUGGGGCGGUUCCUUCCGGACUUCAGGAAGGGCACUCACGCAGCGGACAAAGCAAACUCCAGCCUGCAGCUGAGGGUCCACAGCAGGAGAGAAGAUGCGGGCGCCCAUUCCACUGGACAAGGGUAGAAACCAUCCUCAGCUUCACGCAGGAACAAGCAGAGGCACAGAGUUGGCGCCCGGAUUACAGAACGUGUGCUUCUGAUUGUACAACAGGAUUUCUUGAGUCCUUGAUUUUGAUUCAGCUGACUUGGCUGUGUCUGUCAUGGAGUCAUUGUUCCUCUAGUGCAGCGGUUCUCAACCUGUGGGUUGCGACCCCUUUGGGGGUCUAAUGACCCUUUCACAGGGGUUGCCU